UCCGCAAAUACAUGAAUUUACAGCGAUUUAACAGCGAUUUCGACUUUCUACAGCGAUUUUCUCUCACGGAUAACGCUAAACCCGCAGCCAACACCGUCUCCUCCGAUGCAACACAGUAGACGUUGAUGCGGGUGAAUAAAUAUUAAGUGACCAGCGCAGCACGUGUUACUAAGAAAUCUUUGACGGUGAUCGCGACGGUGACGAUGACGAUGACUAGGUGUCACGCUGCGGUUGCUAUGGUUGUGGUUAUGGCGGUGAUCGUAUGUCAUCAUGGCUUGACGAGAAGCGAGACGGUAACCCGUCUGGAUUUCGUACCGAGAAAUCAAGAACGCAGGCGAGAGAUCCGCUCACCCAGAACAGGUUACAUCCGAAGCCAUCGCGAUCAUUACCACACUGACAACGUAGGGCAUGGCAGAGCCCGAGGUAACGAUGAUGAAUCCGUGGUGAGCAGUGAACUAGUUCGAUCUGCGAAUGCUCACUCAGCCAGCGGUCAAUCUAUUAGG